rnacentral:rRNA from 1 species
UACGUAGGGGGCGAGCGUUGUCCGGAAUUAUUGGGCGUAAAGAGCUUGUAGGCGGUUUGUCGCGUCUGCUGUGAAAAUCCGGGGCUCAACUCCGGACUUGCAGUGGGUACGGGCAGGCUAGAGUGUGGUAGGGGAGACUGGAAUUCCUGGUGUAGCGGUGGAAUGCGCAGAUAUCAGGAGGAACACCGAUGGCGAAGGCAGGUCUCUGGGCCACUACUGACGCUGAGAAGCGAACGCAUGGGGAGCGAACAGG